rnacentral:rRNA from 1 species
UACGAGGGGUGCAAGCGUUGCUCGGAAUUAUUGGGCGUAAAGGGUAGGUAGGUGGUCCCGUUUGUCUGGGGUGAAAGCCUUGAGCUUAACUCAAGAAGUGCCUCAGAAACGGCGAGACUAGAGUUCUGGAGAGGGUCGUGGAAUUCCCGGUGUAGCGGUGAAAUGCGUAGAGAUCGGGAGGAACACCAGAGGCGAAGGCAGCUCGCUGGGACGUGACUGACGCUGAGACGCGAAAGCGUGGGGAGCAAACAGG